GGCGGCCCCGGGCGCCCCUGGCUUUCCUGCGCCGAGAGGCGAGGGGCGGAUCGCCGGCCGCCCGGGAGGGGCGAGUGUGCACGGAGGUGCCGGUCCCCGCCCGGUGCGGGCACGCACACGCCGGCCCGGCGCAAAGCCCCCCUGCACCCCGCGAUAGGGGACCCAGGCCGAACCCGGCACGGCUGGAGCCUCCGCUCCCUUUCCACAGACAAUGCAGUCGGAAGGCUGGCCUGUUCCAGCAAGCCUUUCCCGGCCUCCUCUCUCAGCGGGAAAAACUCGAACCCCUGCAUACGAGCCUUGGCCUACAGGGCUCCAAAGAUAAGCCCCAGACCCGAUCUCGGAAAGAUGCUGAUCUCUCCUCUCACUCGCAGCGCCAGCCUCGGGGCUCCUCAGCCCGAGCACCUACUAGCGCGCGCGCACACACUCACACGGCACUCCCAUCACAUUAAAACGCGCGCUCCCGGCACUGUUGUUCACGAAGCCGACGCGCAUAAUGAGUGCACAGGUAAAUAGGUACAGGGGAGCAGCCCUCACCUGUCGGAAGCACAAUUUGCCUCUUCCUACUGGGAAUAUGUGGAGCUUAUCGUGUUUUAGCAAUGAUAUGCUGUUCUUUGUGGUUUUCCCCUCCCCUUCUUGCAGAGAGAAGCCCAAAGGGCAGGGGGGGGAAUCAAAACCAAAAACGAAAACCUGUUCCAUUGUCAGUCUUCUUUCUGAUAAGCUACCGAGCAGUGUUCUACAAGACUUAGGGGUGCGUUCGGUAUGUUAGCUGUUGUUUCCGUUUUGUUGUUUUGGGGUGUGACUUCCUGGGGGAAGCAAAAGAACUUGUAUUUGGUGCGGCUGGAGGCCAGGACGACAAUCCGCUCGCGGGGCGGGCUGCAGAAGGCGCGCCUUGUGCUUCCCCGGGGCUGCACCGGCGCCUGCACCUCGCCUGGGCCGGCCGGCUGCACCAGCUCGCGCAGACUGGCGGGCUCCGCGGCGGCCGCUCCGUGUUUUCCCCCAUCCCGGCUUCACGUUCAAGGUUUAGCUGCGAGGUCACGUCCAUUGACGUCAGCUCCCUGUCUCCCUCUACGUCCGGCUACAUUUACAUACAUCAAGGAAAUUAGGGCAUUAAAAAAAUAUGCAAAUCCUGAGCGGAGAGGAGCGGGAGCAUUCUUGGCGCGAUCGCCUUUUAUUGAAGGUUUUAAUUAAAGAGGCCAGUUGGCGAGCCCCUGAAACAACCGCCAAAACCCCCUAAAAGAGAAAAAUAAACGCUGUAGCCUUCGGGAACAGUUGUUUCUGCUGCUGUUCUGUGGGCGGCUGAGGACCGCCGGCUGCCGGGCUCGGAGAAGAACAGGGAGACCACAAGACGAUCUGGUGAACCACGACUCUGUACACCUGGUUAAAGGAUUAUUAUUGCUGUGCGGUUAUAAGCCUAUCCGGGGGCAUAAAGAAUCCCUGAACAUUACAGUGCUGAACAUUUGGCACGUUUCAGGAUCCACGGACUUGCUAAAUCUUAUUCCAAACUGAGGCUGAGAAAACGGUGCUAGCUUUUGCUCACCAUAGUUUUGAAGGAAAAUGGAACAAGCAAAGUUGUUCUUGGAAAACUAGGUUAAUUGAAGGCAAAUAAAGAUAUUCCCCUUCAGCAGAAGGAGCUGGUUAGGAAGUACAUCAAAUGAGGGCCAUGUUAUACAAAUGCCAGUGGGUUUCUCAAGAGUCUUUGGAAGAGCAAUGAAAGGAGAGGAAGUAGGAAGAAGACCCCAGCCCAGCCUGCACUGGUGGGUUCCUGGGCCAGGAGCAAACCCCGGGCACCAGGCGUACCCCACUCUCCUGUGUCCACACUGUCUGAGGCUGGGUUUCCGAGGAGGAGGAGCUGAGUUCUGUCCAGUGGAUCAACCACAGGUUUAGAAAUGGGGGAUCUGUAUUCGGGCUGCCUUCAGACUCUAGCACUAUAUCACCACGUACCACUCCAGUGUGCUGGAGCUAGAACCUCCCCCCUUUUCACUACUUAACCAUUGCAUAAUAAUUACAUUGCCCUGCUUAUUGAACACUAAAAGAGAAUUUGCACCUCUUUCUUUGCAGUUAUUGGCCAGUGUUCCAUUCUAAUGAGGUCCCCGGAUUGGGCUCUAUGGAGGAGGGAGGGGGAGCUUGGUAAAGUUCAGCUCUGAAAUGCAGAACAAAUCCUAUAAAAGAAAGUAAUCGAUUAUCUGAUAGGUAGAGGAGGACAAAAGAACUUGGGGCCAUGUUUAAGUAGGCCUCAGCAGUUUGCAAAAACUUUUCUUUAUAUUUGACACAGAAAACUUCAUAAAUUGCAUUUCUUUCUCUUCUUUUCUCUUUUUCUUCUUUCUUUCAUUUUCUUUCCAGCUUUUAAAUCAUCUCCAACCUGGGAGAUUUUCUUUUCUUUUCUAGUGAAAUGCUCCCGGAAGGCUUGGAUUAGACACCAACUAGCCACAAAUGCCCCAACAAUGAAUAAGCUGCGCCCAGACGUGUGGAGCCGUGUGGAGGGACCGGACCGGACCACAGCCCCCAGCUGUACCUGGUUCGGCGAUGAGGUCUUGCCAGCCCCAUACCAUUAGAUGUGAAAGGUGACUUGAAAACAUGACGUGAUUCUGGGCAAAAUCAUUGUGUCCUGUUGGCAAGAAGAUGUAGUUAUAUUCCCAAGUUCUGCUCAGGAACAGCCGGCCACAUGUCGGGGCUGACCCUUGAGAUGAGACAGGAUCCGUCCAGCACAUGGGAUUCAUGAAGAAACUCAUGUGUUUGGGGAGAGGGGAUGGGGUUUGGGGGUCGCCUCUCCAUUCUUCUUGCUGAGGGCUCCUGUGAUAAUCAGUGGCUCUGGCAGCCGCCUGGCAAACAAGGAUAAUUCAUCACCAAACAAUUUUCACUCUGACAUAGUUUAAUGAGCUCAUUUAAACUUUGCUUUUACAAAAAAUUUUUUCCCUGAUAAUGUUAAUCUUCUCCCUGCUAUUCCUUACAACUUAAUUUUUUUUUUUUUCACUUCUUGGUCGGCCUUGCAGGGAGUUGUGCUGCAGUUAACACAGAGGUAGAGGGCAUCGGUGGGUCAGCACGAGCCUUUUGGGCAGUAAGGUACCCCUGCUCCUGGAGCGACCCCAUGAGAGGCACAUCCUCACGUGUGUGGUGUGCUCCUCCUCACAGGUAUGACAUUUUGUCUGAAUUCCAUAGUCUGAGUUCAGGGGUCCACACACAGACUCCUAACUUCUGGCCACAGUCCUGAAUUCACAGCCAUAACUCUACUGAUGUUUGGUUUUAACCUUUUGAAAAUCAUCUUUAAUGAGUACUUCUUUCAAAAUUAAAGAAGCAGAUUCAAAAUUAGACUUCGAGUUGGUCUCUUCCAAGUUACUCUUUUAUCUUUCAAAAUGAAGCCCGCACCCUCGAAUUCAGCCUUUGAUCUCUUCCGGCCCUGCUCGUCCUUGGCACUCUAAGCUUUCAGACCAGCCUUGGGCAUUGCAAGCAGUGUCCGGAGUCACUGACAGUUUGGAGCAGAAGAGGUCACCAUUCCGAAAUUUUCUUCUCUUCCUGCCUCAUAAAUUGGAGGUUGACAUUGUUUGAACCCCCCUUCUCCAGAUUACAGACAUGGGUAAAAUGUUUUCACGAUUCUCCUCGGUGAGCCCCGGGGUCCUGCCUCUCAGAAGGGGUUGGGGCGCGCUCCCGCGGGCUGCUUUUCGCAGACCUGUGCCGGCAGCCAGGUUCCUGGCAGGUAACUACCCAGAGUGAGGAGGAGCUCCGAGACCCUGCUGAGGGGAGGUCACCUCCAUCUCGAUUUUGCAUCCAAACUCACACCCAGCCAGGAUCUCGGGGUCGGCAGGCUAACAAAAGGCAGAGUCCUCGAAUCGAAACCCCACGGUUUCUACCCAAGGGCCUUGGCCAGGAAACAGCGGGCCAGGGCGGCUGGAGAACCGCGGCCUCAGGUGCGGCUUUCCCCGGGUCCCCAGCUGUGGCCGGCAGCUCUCCGGGCCACUCUGACCUCCGUGGCCAUCGAGCUGGUUCUUUUCCCGCAAACAACACCUGCUGCCAGAUCCAGUACACCUGACACCAGAUGUAGUCAGAAGGAAAAGAAAAGAAAAGAGAGAGCCCCGCCCUCCUUAAUUCCGUUUGGGAAGAGCCGGGCCGCCAGGGCUGUUACCUGACGCCCGCCGAGCGCACACCUGGGCCCGCGCGCAGAUCGGGUUCCGCGUCGGCGGCUGCGGCCUGCAGGAGCCUGGGGAGUCGCUGACCGGAGCGGGUGUGGGGUGCAGCGCUGCUCCCCGGCCGGCCGGGCGUAAGUGG
ensembl:lncRNA